rnacentral:rRNA from 1 species
GACGAACGCUGGCGGCGUGCUUAACACAUGCAAGUCGAACGGAAAGGCCCUUUCGAGGGUACUCGAGUGGCGAACGGGUGAGUAACACGUGGGUGAUCUGCCCUGUACUCCGGGAUAAGCUUGGGAAACUGGGUCUAAUACCGGAUAGGACCGCAUGCCGCAUGGUGUGUGGUGGAAAGUGCGGUGUGUAAAAAGCACUGUGCGGUGUGGGAUGAGCCCGCGGCCUAUCAGCUUGUUGGUGGGGUGAUGGCCUACCAAGGCGACGACGGGUAGCCGG